rnacentral:misc_RNA from 1 species
GUCGGGUUUAGAGGCCUCCCCAAUAUUAAAAGACGGAAUUUUAAUUUAAGUUUAUAUAUUUUAGUUGUUGAAAUUGGCCGAUGAAGAAAUUACCGUCGAUUUCCAAGGCCUCCCGUGUUAAUAAGACGGAUUUUUAUUUUUAUGUUAUUAGUUGAGUUAUUCAUUUUUAUUUAUAUUUAUUUGGUACUAACUCUUUUACUAAGUGUUUACAGGUACCCGGAGGUGCAUCUCCUUGAAUUAUUCGAAUGAAGUUCGAAUCGUACUUUGUUUCA